rnacentral:sRNA from 1 species
GCUUUGAGCUGCGGCCAGAACCCCCUGCCCAUCUACCUCACCAUCAAUGUCAAGGAUGAUGUAAGCAACCAGGACUUCAGAGAGUGGUUCGAGUUCUCCCCCUACGAGGUGGGCCUGCAGAAGUAUGGGGCCUUCAUCCCAUCCGAGCUCUUCGGCUCCGAGUUCUUCAUGGGGCGGCUGGUGAAGAGGAUCCCGGAGUCUCGAAUCUGCUACAUGCUAGGCCUGUGGAGCAGCAUCUUCUCCCUGAACCUGCUGGAUGCCUGGAACCUGUCACACACCUCGGAGGAGUUUUUCCACAGGUGGACAAGGGAGAAAGUGCAGGACAUCGAAGACGAGCCAAUCCUGCCUGAAAUCCCCAAAUGUGAUGCUAACAUCCUAGAGACCACGGUAGUGAUCCCAGGGUCAUGGCUGUCCAAUUCUUUCCGAGAAAUCCUUACCCAUCGGUCCUUCGUGUCUGAGUUUCACAACUUCCUGUCUGGGCUGCAGCUGCACACCAACUACCUCCAGAAUGGCCAGUUCUCUAGGUGGAAAGGUAACCCUACCUGGCUACUCCUUGAGGCCUGCCUCCAUAUGGAGGAGGAAGAUGUGGAUGUCAAGGCUGCCGUGGAGAAAGAAUAAGAAAACUUCUCUGGCUAUGUUCACUGGGCCAGGCACCUCUCUCCCCAUGGUGUUUUCCACAUUUGGUGGUGUCGUCUUGAAUACUGUAUGGGUCUGGCAGCAGGGAGUGGUGUGGGUACUUAACUCACUGCAUCUGUACAGUAAUUCUAUACAGAAUCUGUACAACAGUCCUAGCAGGUAGAAGUUGGCUCCAUGUUACAGAUGGGGA